UGGGGAAUAUUGCACAAUGGGCGCAAGCCUGAUGCAGCCAUGCCGCGUGUAUGAAGAAGGCCUUCGGGUUGUAAAGUACUUUCAGUCGGGAGGAAGGUGUCAAGGUUAAUAACCUUGGCAAUUGACGUUACCGACAGAAGAAGCACCGGCUAACUCCGUGCCAGCAGCCGCGGUAAUACGGAGGGUGCAAGCGUUAAUCGGAAUUACUGGGCGUAAAGCGCACGCAGGCGGUUGAUUGAGUCAGAUGUGAAAUCCCCGGGCUUAACCCGGGAAUUGCAUCUGAUACUGGUCAGCUAGAGGCUUGUAGAGGGGGGUAGAAUUCCAGGUGUAGCGGUGAAAUGCGUAGAGAUGUGGAGGAAUACCGGUGGCGAAGGCGGCCCCCUGGACAAAGACUGACGCUCAGGUGCGAAAGCGUGGGGAGCAAACAGG
rnacentral:rRNA from 1 species